rnacentral:rRNA from 1 species
AGAGUUUGAUCAUGGCUCAGAUUGAACGCUGGCGGCAGGCCUAACACAUGCAAGUCGAGCGGUAGCACAGAGAGCUUGCUCUCGGGUGACGAGCGGCGGACGGGUGAGUAAUGUCUGGGAAACUGCCUGAUGGAGGGGAUAACUACUGGAAACGGUAGCUAAUACCGCAUAAUGUCGCAAGACCAAAGUGGGGACCUUCGGGCCUCAUGCCAUCAGAUGUGCCCAGAUGGGAUUAGCUAGUAGGUGGGGUAACGGCUCACCUAGGCGACGAUCCCUAGCUGGUCUGAGAGGAUGACCAGCCACACUGGAACUGAGACACGGUCCAGACUCCUACGGGAGGCAGCAGUGGGGAAUAUUGCACAAUGGGCGCAAGCCUGAUGCAGCCAUGCCGCGUGUGUGAAGAAGGCCUUCGGGUUGUAAAGCACUUUCAGCGGGGAGGAAGGCGUUAAGGUUAAUAACCUUGGCGAUUGACGUUACCCGCAGAAGAAGCACCGGCUAACUCCGUGCCAGCAGCCGCGGUAAUACGGAGGGUGCAAGCGUUAAUCGGAAUUACUGGGCGUAAAGCGCACGCAGGCGGUCUGUCAAGUCGGAUGUGAAAUCCCCGGGCUCAACCUGGGAACUGCAUUCGAAACUGGCAGGCUAGAGUCUUGUAGAGGGGGGUAGAAUUCCGGUGUAGCGGUGAAAUGCGUAGAGAUCUGGAGGAAUACCGGUGGCGAAGGCGGCCCCUGGACAAAGACUGACGCUCAGGUGCGAAAGCGUGGGGAGCAAACAGGAUUAGAUACCCUGGUAGUCCACGCCGUAAACGAUGUCGAUUUGGAGGUUGUGCCCUUGAGGCGUGGCUUCCGGAGCUAACGCGUUAAAUCGACCGCCUGGGGAGUACGGCCGCAAGGUUAAAACUCAAAUGAAUUGACGGGGGCCCGCACAAGCGGUGGAGCAUGUGGUUUAAUUCGAUGCAACGCGAAGAACCUUACCUGGUCUUGACAUCCACAGAACUUUCCAGAGAUGGAUUGGUGCCUUCGGGAACUGUGAGACAGGUGCUGCAUGGCUGUCGUCAGCUCGUGUUGUGAAAUGUUGGGUUAAGUCCCGCAACGAGCGCAACCCUUAUCCUUUGUUGCCAGCGGUCCGGCCGGGAACUCAAAGGAGACUGCCAGUGAUAAACUGGAGGAAGGUGGGGAUGACGUCAAGUCAUCAUGGCCCUUACGACCAGGGCUACACACGUGCUACAAUGGCAUAUACAAAGAGAAGCGACCUCGCGAGAGCAAGCGGACCUCAUAAAGUAUGUCGUAGUCCGGAUUGAGUCUGCAACUCGACUCCAUGAAGUCGGAAUCGCUAGUAAUCGUAGAUCAGAAUGCUACGGUGAAUACGUUCCCGGGCCUUGUACACACCGCCCGUCACACCAUGGGAGUGGGUUGCAAAAGAAGUAGGUAGCUUAACCUUCGGGAGGGCGCUUACCACUUUGUGAUUCAUGACUGGGGUGAAGUCGUAACAAGGUAACCGUAGGGGAACCUGCGGUUG